AGCCUUUUGUAUCCGUGUUGGGAUUUCGUCACACACCAGGCCACAAGGGCUGAUGAGACUUCCAAGAUAAGUGAAGCG
rfam:Schistosoma margrebowiei strain Zambia genome assembly, scaffold: SMRZ_scaffold0000027